UUCCAGACUCCUACGGGAGGCAGCAGUGAGGAAUAUUGGUCAAUGGCCGGAAGGCUGAACCAGCCAAGCCGCGUGAAGGACGAAGGUGCCAAGCAUUGUAAACUUCUUUUGUCAAGGGACAAAAUCAGGCUCGAGAGCCUGACCGAGGGUACUUGAAGAAAAAGCAUCGGCUAACUACGUGCCAGCAGCCGCGGUCAUACGUAGGAUCCGAGCAUUAUCCGGAGUGACUGGGUGUAAAGAGUUGCGUAGGUGGCAUAGUAAGUAGCUAGUGAAAUCUGGUGGCUCAACCAUUCAGACUAUUAGCUAAACUGCUAAGCUCGAGACCGUUAGGGGUAACUGGAAUUUCUAGUGUAGGAGUGAAAUCCGUAGAUAUUAGAAGGAACACCGAUAGCGUAGGCAGGUUACUGGGACGGUUCUGACACUAAGGCACGAAAGCGUAGGGAGCAAACGGGAUUAGAUACCCGCGUAC
rnacentral:rRNA from 1 species